rnacentral:rRNA from 1 species
GAUGAACGCUGGCGGCGUGCCUAAUACAUGCAAGUCGAGCGAACAGACGAGGAGCUUGCUCCUUUGACGUUAGCGGCGGACGGGUGAGUAACACGUGGAUAAUCUACCUAUAAGACUGGGAUAACUUCGGGAAACCGGAUCUAAUACCAGAUAAUAUAUUGAACCGCAUGGUUCAAUAGAGAAAGACGGCUUUGCUGUCACUUAUAGAUGGUUCCGCGCCGCAUUAGCUAGUUGGGAAGGUAACGGCUUACCAAGGCAACGAUGCGUAGCCGACCUGAGAGGGUGAUAGGCCACACUGGAACUGAGACACGGUCCAGACUCCUACGGGAGGCAGCAGUAGGGAAUCUUCCGCAAUGGGCGAAAGCCUGACGGAGCAACGCCGCGUGAGUGAUGAAGGUCUUCGGAUCGUAAAACUCUGUUAUUGGGGAAGAACAGAUGUGUAAGUAACUGUGCACGUCUUGACGGUACCUAAUCAGAAAGCCACGGCUAACUACGUG